rnacentral:rRNA from 1 species
CGAUGAGUAGGGCGGGACACGUGGUAUCCUGUCUGAAUAUGGGGGGACCAUCCUCCAAGGCUAAAUACUCCUGACUGACCGAUAGUGAACCAGUACCGUGAGGGAAAGGCGAAAAGAACCCCGGCGAGGGGAGUGAAAAAGAACCUGAAACCGUGUACGUACAAGCAGUGGGAGCCUCUUAAUGGGGUGACUGCGUACCUUUUGUAUAAUGGGUCAGCGACUUAUAUUCUGUAGCAAGGUUAACCGAAUAGGGGAGCCGAAGGGAAACCGAGUCUUAACUGGGCGUUAAGUUGCAGGGUAUAGACCCGAAACCCGGUGAUCUAGCCAUGGGCAGGUUGAAGGUUGGGUAACACUAACUGGAGGACCGAACCGACUAAUGUUGAAAAAUUAGCGGAUGACUUGUGGCUGGGGGUGAAAGGCCAAUCAAACCGGGAGAUAGCUGGUUCUCCCCGAAAGCUAUUUAGGUAGCGCCUCGUGAAUUCAUCUCCGGGGGUAGAGCACUGUUUCGGCAAGGGGGUCAUCCCGACUUACCAACCCGAUGCAAACUGCGAAUACCGGAGAAUGUUAUCACGGGAGACACACGGCGGGUGCUAACGUCCGUCGUGAAGAGGGAAACAACCCAGACCGCCAGCUAAGGUCCCAAAGUCAUGGUUAAGUGGGAAACGAUGUGGGAAGGCCCAGACAGCCAGGAUGUUGGCUUAGAAGCAGCCAUCAUUUAAAGAAAGCGUAAUAGCUCACUGGUCGAGUCGGCCUGCGCGGAAGAUGUAACGGGGCUAAACCAUGCACCGAAGCUGCGGCAGCGACACUAUGUGUUGUUGGGUAGGGGAGCGUUCUGUAAGCCUGUGAAGGUGGCCUGUGAGGGUUGCUGGAGGUAUCAGAAGUGCGAAUGCUGACAUAAGUAACGAUAAAGCGGGUGAAAAGCCCGCUCGCCGGAAGACCAAGGGUUCCUGUCCAACGUUAAUCGGGGCAGGGUGAGUCGACCCCUAAGGCGAGGCCGAAAGGCGUAGUCGAUGGGAAACAGGUUAAUAUUCCUGUACUUGGUGUUACUGCGAAGGGGGGACGGAGAAGGCUAUGUUGGCCGGG